rnacentral:rRNA from 1 species
CCCUUAGAUGUUCUGGGCCGCACGCGCGCUACACUGAUGCAUUCAACGAGUCUAAAACCUGCUCUGAUAGGGGUGGGUAAUCUUUUGAAUGUGCAUCGUGAUUGGGAUAGAUGAUUGCAAUUUUUCAUCUUCAACGAGGAAUGCCUAGUAAACGCAAGUCAUCAGCUUGCAUUGAUUACGUCCCUGCCCUUUGUACACACCGCCCGUCGCUCCUACCGAUUGAAUGAUCCGAUGAAUAUCAUAGAUUGAGGAUGCAAGCAGGUUCGCCUGUCUUCAUCUUCGAGAAGUGAAGUAAAUCUUAUCAUUUAGAGGAAGGAGAAGUCGUAACA